rnacentral:rRNA from 1 species
GUGUCAGCAGCCGCGGUAAUACGUAGGGUGCGAGCGUUGUCCGGAAUUAUUGGGCGUAAAGAGCUCGUAGGCGGUUUGUCGCGUCGGCCGUGAAAACUUGGGGCUUAACCCCAAGCCUGCGGUCGAUACGGGCAGACUUGAGUUCGGCAGGGGAGACUGGAAUUCCUGGUGUAGCGGUGAAAUGCGCAGAUAUCAGGAGGAACACCGGUGGCGAAGGCGGGUCUCUGGGCCGAUACUGACGCUGAGGAGCGAAAGCGUGGGGAGCGAACAGGAUUAGAUACCCUCGUAGUCC